AGAAAAUGGGUCCAAAUUUAGAGCUGCAUUUUUCUUCCCUCAAAAUAAGAAGAAAACAUUUCCUCAGCUCAUAUUUCAGCACCUCAGGAUCAACUUGGGAAAGAACAGAGGAGGGCACAAGCAUUAUCAAUUUAUUUGCUAUAGUAUUGUCCCUCUUCCUCUGGCCUCCUGAAGUGUUUCCAUUCCAGUGUCACCAUCUUUUGUUUCAUUCAUUUGUAGAAUAUAUUCUUCUUUUUUCUAUACCUUUAUUACCUCCUUUUAACUUUGAUUAUCUUUACUUGAUGAGUAUUAUUAGACCCAUUCUCAAAAUUUUGCAUCCCCUGCUUCUUUCUUAUGGUCCUUAUACUCAAACAUGUGCAAGUUUGUAUUUUUCUGAUGGAUUGGACUAUUGGGAACUUAGGUACUUUUACUUUUUA